rnacentral:rRNA from 1 species
UACAUGUGGGGCAAGCGUUGUUCGGAAUUACUGGGCAUAAAGGGUGCGUAGGCGGCUUGUUAAGUCAGGGGUGAAAGUUUUCGGCCCAACCGGAAAAUUGCCUUCGAUACUGUAGAGCUUGAGACCGGAAGAGGUAAGUGGAACUGCGAGUGUAGAGGUGAAAUUCGUAGAUAUUCGCAAGAACACCAGUGGCGAAGGCGGCUUACUGGUCCGGUUCUGACGCUGAGGCGCGAAAGCGUGGGGAGCAAACAGG